AUCAAAUCAUAUCAUCCCUCAAAAAGCCCAUUAUUUCUCUGUGACUCUGUUUCUCUCUCUUGUUCGCUUCUUUCAACUUAGGGCAAACUCUUAACUCGCUUCUUUUGACUCACAAGCCUGAAAGAUCUCUAUAUGCAUCGCUGAUCUGCCCCUCAGGCUGUAGAUUCAAUAUUUAUUGGGAAAAGCUUUUUGUUCAAUUUCUAUACCUUAAUCAAGACAAGGACAGCUACUCCCCAGCAAGGAAUGAUUUUUGGCAUGAACUUUUGACAUUUUUGCAAUGUCGGGGUUACUUAAUUCUUCGCUAAACAGUUCAGCUUCAAAUCUGCCUGACAGCACUGGACGAUCUUUUACUACUUCUUUCUCUGGCCAUUCUGGUGCAGCAUCUCCUGUUUUUCAUCAUACUGGAACUAUUCAAGGGCUGCAUAACAUCCAUGGGAGCUUUAAUGUCCCCAACAUGCCAAGUACACUUGCAUCAAGAAAUUCCACCAUAAGUAAUGUUCCUUCAGGUGGAGUUCAACAACCUACUGGGAGCCUCUCUAGUGGUCGCUUUGCGUCCAAUAAUCUUCCUGUUGCACUCUCUCAGUUAUCUCAUGGCAGCUCUCAUGGACAUUCAGGAGUCACAAAUAGAGGAGGUAUAAGUGUUGUAGGAAACCCUGGAUUUAAUAGUAACACAAAUGGAGUUGGCAGCUCUAUUCCUGGGAUUCUUCCGACCUCUGCCGGAAUUGGAAACAGGAAUGCUGUGCCAGGAUUGGGAGUAUCCCCAAUUUUGGGAAAUGCAGGUCCUCGGAUUACAAGUUCUAUGGGGAACAUGGUUGGCGGGGGAAACAUUGGGAGGAGCAUAAGCUCGGGUGGAGGAUUAUCUAUGCCUGGUCUUGCAUCUCGGCUAAAUCUAACUGCUAAUAGUGGAUCUGGAAGUUUAAGCGUGCAAGGACAAAACAGAUUAAUGGGUGGUGUGCUUCCACAAGGAUCUCCACAGGUAAUUUCCAUGUUAGGAAAUUCCUAUCCGACUGCUGGUGGCCCUCUUUCACAAAAUCAUGUCCAAGCAGUGAACAAUCUUAGCUCAAUGGGAAUGUUGAAUGAUGUGAACUCCAAUGACAACUCCCCUUUUGACAUAAAUAACGACUUCCCUCAGUUGACAAGCCGUCCUAGUUCUGCUGGAGGGCCUCAAGGGCAAUUGGGUUCAUUACGAAAACAAGGUCUUGGCGUUAGCCCAAUUGUCCAACAAAACCAAGAGUUUAGCAUCCAGAAUGAAGAUUUUCCAGCUUUACCUGGAUAUAAAGGUGGUAAUGCUGAAUUCACUAUGGAUUUGCACCAGAAAGAACAACUGCAUGACAAUACCAUGUCAAUGAUACAAUCUCAGCACUUCCCUAUGGGUAGGUCUGCUGGAUUCAACUUGGGGGGAACUUAUUCGUCUUAUCGUCCACAGCAGCAGCAACAACAUGCUCCAGCUGUCAGUAGUAGUGGUGUCUCCUUUUCAUCUGUAAACAAUCAAGAUCUUCUUCAUGGUUCAGAUAUAUUUCCAUCUUCACAUUCAACCUAUCACUCACAGACCAAUGGACCACCUGGGAUUGGAUUGAGACCUCUGAAUUCACCGAAUACAGUUUCUGGUAUUGGAUCAUAUGAUCAGCUCAUCCAGCAGUAUCAGCAACACCAGAACCAGUCCCAGUUUCGGUUACAACAAAUGUCAGCUGUCAGUCAACCCUUUAGGGAUCAGGGCAUGAAAUCCAUGCAAGCUGCACAAUCAGCUCCAGACCCAUUUGGGCUACUUGGCUUGUUAAGUGUUAUAAGAAUGAGCGACCCUGAUCUGACCUCCCUAGCACUUGGAAUUGAUUUAACAACUCUAGGACUAAAUUUGAAUUCCACAGAAAAUCUUCACAAGACAUUUGGCUCUCCAUGGUCUGAUGAGCCAGCGAAGGGCGACCCGGAGUUUAGUGUGCCACUAUGCUAUUAUUCUAAACAACCUCCUCCUCUACAUCAUGGAUACUUCUCAAAAUUCACGGUGGAAACACUGUUUUAUAUAUUUUACAGCAUGCCAAAGGAUGAAGCUCAAUUAUAUGCUGCAAAUGAACUUUAUAACAGAGGCUGGUUUUAUCACAAAGAGCACCGAUUGUGGUUCAUAAGAGUCCCCAACGUAGAGCCACUUGUGAAGACAAAUACUUAUGAAAGAGGAUCUUACCACUGUUUUGAUCCAAAUACAUUUGAAAUAAUCCGCAAGGAUAAUUUUGUUGUUCAUUAUGAAGUGUUGGAAAAGAGACCAUCUCUACCUCAACAUUAACAAGUUUUUGUUUACAUUGUAAAGUUUCUUUUAUGUACUCAUUCAUUAGAAUGUCGAGAUCAGUGGUGAUUGGUCCUCUUUUUAAAGUUUAUCUGGAGUAAAAUCAUAGAUUAAUAGAAAUCUAAAUUGGGUUUCUUAUGUUGGAUUGAACAUCGGUUUCAUACAGCAUUUGAUUCCCCCCAAUCUGGCCCGAGAGAACCACAAAUUUUCAGGAGUUUUUUGAUAUGCUGAUCCAUGAAAAUAUUUCGUCUCUCUUUGCAACAGAAGCACGGAGAGCGGCCGUCGAAAGAUCUCCAUCACAGAGCAUUUGCACAUCUUGCAUCUUCCAAGUUACUUCUCUUAUUAGACUUGCUAAUUAUGGAACUAAGAGGUUUAGAUUGUUAUUUUAGCUGCACUGGGGUUUCUCUUUUCCAGUUUUAAUAUUUUAUUUUACUUUUCUUUUUGUUAAUAGAAUUGUAAAAUAAAAUAAAAAUGAUUUUGAAAGAAUAUGUCAGCAUAUGAUAAAAAAACGCAGGAUCGAAGAACUUGACGUUAAAUGAAUGACCCGUGAAGAAAACCAUUGUCCUGUCAUCAAGAAGCUUGGUUACUGCGAAACCCAUCUUCUGUUCUUUUGGGGCUUGCAAACGCUUUGCUUCCUUCAUUCCCAAACCCUAGUCUGAACUAUGAGUGAAUAAUUCCAUUUGUUUGUACUUUUAGUCAUGUUUUUAUUCCUUUCUAAGCCAAGU